UACGUAGGGAGCGAGCGUUGUCCGGAUUCAUUGGGCGUAAAGAGCUCGUAGGCGGCUUGAUAAGUCGGAUGUGAAACCUCCAGGCUCAACCUGGAGUCGCCAUCCGAUACUGUCAUGGCUAGAGUCCGGUAGGGGCCCACGGAACUCCUGGUGUAGCGGUGGAAAUGCGCAGAUAUCAGGAAGAACAACCGAUGGCGAAGGCAGUGGGCUGGGCCGGUGACUGACGCUGAGGAGCGAAGACGUGGGGAGCGAACAGG
rnacentral:rRNA from 1 species